UUGCUAUGAUGAUGCUUUUGACUGGUUGAAACUAUUCAUGGAAUUUGUUAAUGAAACAUCGACCACUGUGUCGAACCUGAGCGGUUACCUGAGCAA